AAAACCCUGCAGCCACCUAAAGCAUGCCCUGAGUCUCUCAGCCAGGUUUCAUCUGGGAAAUCUGAGUGACAGUGACGUGCAGGCAGCUGGAAGACGCACAGUAAACCGAGGAGCCUGUGAUGAGCUCAGAGGAGGUGAGUUGAUGAUCUGCUAUUUAUAGCCCCACUAAGAGGCUCUGGCCGCCAGCUCCAUGUGAGUCUGGGUGGAAAUGAUGCCUUCGCAGAGCUGAGAGCACAAAAUGAAGUUGGUGAUUCAUGGGCAGCAGCCACUUGAAAAUAUGAACACUCCUGCGUCCCCAGCCCCGCCGGCCUUUCACACCCAUUUGGAGGCGUGUUGAGCAGAGCUGCUAGCCUGCUGCAUCCUAGUCUGCAUGUGUUUGGGCAGGAUGUGAGGACAGGCCGGUUCUACCCUGACAAGGAGCCUGCAAAGGGCAGCAGCACGCCUGGGAGCACUCCAAGAACGUCUGCCCACCCCCCGAGAGGCCUCGGCUGGAACCCAGGGCAGGGCUGAGUAAGAGGUAAGCCCCGAGAGGACCUGCGGUCACAGAGAAAGGACACUUCCUGCUCCUGCCCUCUGUCUCCAGGGGCGACGCUGGCAACAGAGCAGCUUUCUGAUGACGCUUGUUCUGCUGAACAUACAAAAAUUUACAAUGAGGAAACCCUUGCAGCUUGACAUUUCCCCCCGCACAAUUCCACAGCCCAGCACCUGUCACCUGAAAUAGCUAUUGUUUAUUUUCCUCAGUAACAUCUUGGCUUCCAGGCCAAAGUCUACUUGGAGGCCCAAACUCAACUCACCCUAUGUGAGGAAUGCCCUGGAGGUCUCUCAGUUUCCCACAACCAAACUGGAUUUAAAGGGCCAAACCAGGAUAAGGAGGCCAGCUGAGCUCUGAAGCCAGAUUGUCUGGGUUCAGAUUCUUUCUCUACACUUGCAGCCACGUGGCUUCAGUCAAAUUGCCCUCUGAGACUCAGUUUUUCUCAUUGGUAAAAUGAGGAUAAUUACAGAACCUACCUCACUGGGUUGCGGUGAAGGGUGACAUUUGAGUAGUGGUCAGCCCAGCAUCCAGCACAUGGACAGACUUGAUACUGGACACUGCUGCUGCUGCUUUUGCUGUUGAAGUUGUUUUCACUCCUGGGUUUUGGUCCCUGUACUGAUAGCACUCCUUUGCACACAGUCUAUGGCACUGAGGUUCCUUGUGGAGGUGGUGCCCUGAGGCUUCAAUAGAGACCCUCUGCCCAUCACAAACAAACCCCAUAUCAGGCUGCCAAGCAUAGUGGACUUCACCCCGGGGGCAUCUCAGCCCCAUGCUUGACCGGCCCCUGCCUUUGCCUAGGAACCAAGUGCCUUUCCCUUGGGGCUGGGCUUUGCCCGGGUUGACUACCCUGAUGCUUCUGCUCCUCUAUGUCCUGGGGUGGUCUUGGGGGUAUUAACUGUCACCAUCCAGUGGAGGGUUUCACCGAGGGUCCCAGGUGCUAACAUGAGGUCUGUGGCCAGCAGGCAGCCUGGAUGACUGGCCGGAUAGGCAGCAGGGAGGGCCUGGAUGACUGGCCGGAUAGGCCCACCUCACCUAUGGGCUGCACUUGCAGCACAAACUGCUGAUUCAUGGAGACUCAUGAGGCCUUGGCUAUCUGUACAUUCUCCAUCUCCAGCUGUCGGCCAAAAUAUAAUUGUAGUUGUCACUUUGGCAGAGAGAUACUAUGAUGUGUCCUAUCUCCAAGGCAGUGAGCUUUUGGAAGAUAGGAGGGAUCUGCAGCUGCUCCUGUGGAGAGAACCAUUCUGGAAAGUGGUCUGUGUGAAGUGCACCCAGGUGCAGUCCCAGGAGUGGUGUGAGCAGCAGGGUGAGGCCCUAUAUUAGAAUGGGCACUGGUGUUGCCUGUGUCUGCAUCUACAGUAAUGCAAUUCUGAUGACAUCAAUGAAUAACAGAGAGGCUGCCAUUGAAAUGAGGCAUUGUUGGCAGCUAUGCGGACUUGGAAAACAGCCACCAGGCUUAUGCACAAGUCAGAAUCCAUCGUGUGUGGGGUAAAUGAGUGGUUAGACCAUGGGGUACAUGGUGUAAGGGAGAUGAUGCCAGAGACAUAGCUAGGACCAGACUGAGAAGCAAGGGACUCGAAGACCAGGCCAUGCAGCUUGGACUUGAUCCUGGACAUAGGGAAAGUGAUGUGAUUAGAGGAUGUGGGGGUUCUGGGCUCAAGCAUCCUCGAAGGGUCGCACUAAGGGCAAGGCUCCCCCUCCCCACGGCAGUUGGCAAGCAGCGGCUUGCUGUUUGAGAAGGUGUUUACUCCUCUGGAGCAUGAGUCCCACACUCAGAAGGUGCUGAGACUCUGCUCGUAGGGUAAGCAUAUGAAGGGCCGGUCCCAGCCAGGACAGCUGGGAGUGCGCAGUCAGCAAGGCAAAGCACCAGGCUUAUGUCUUCCCUCUUCUUCCAUCCUUCUUGGCCAGGAGUUUAUUAUUGAAGCACCUGUGUGCAGAUGUGCUAAAUGUAGAUGACUGCACCACUCAGGUCAAAGGUCAGGGAGGCUCCUGGGACUGAGAGAUGACCCCGCUGCCUGUGGAUGUGGCCUCCCUCCCCACUAAGGAAACAGCAGAGGCAAACAUCCAAGCUUGCCUGAUGGAGGAAUUCCUAGAAGAAAGGUUCUAUCCUUAUGUACUUAAAUACUGAUUUAGAGGUUGGUUAAUGGAGACAGAAGAAUACUAAGUGUUGGGAGCCGUUACCAGUGGAGGACCCACCCAUGAGCACGGAAGCCAGAGCAUAUCUGGACCAUCAUGUAAGUCCGGAGGAAGACACGAUUCAGUUGACAAAAAUUUGUGUACCCUCCUCAGAAGUGCAUUGUUGUGCAAGAAAUGGUUUGGCAGUGACUCUCCCCUUUCAGCUGCAAGCCAUCAAGGGCUGAAUGCCUCUCCAGUUGCCAGAGGAGGAGUGGCUUGUAGAGCGGAUGUUCCCAGUCUGGCAGAAUCUUCUGUCAAGUGUUCCCUGAGUUGGGCUGCCAGGGGGCAGGUGUUGAACAGUGAGGAAGUCCUCUCACCUGAGCAGCUUCUGAUGCAAGAGGGGUGUCGUGAGUGCCUGGAAUCCUAUGCCUGUGGGUGGAGCGUGAACUUAGCCUCUUCCCUGAGGGUAGGCAGCAUGUCAUAACCACUUCUGGCUGCCCAUGGCUGGUUUGGGGCAAUAUGCCAAGAUGUAGUUUUGCCUAUUUGGUUUGCUUUUUCCUUUAAAAUGUACAAAAGUUAAUAACAUGUAAUGGGUUUUUAAAAAAUUAUAAAAUAUGAGAUACAAUCAGAAAAGUCCAAACAGACCGGGUGAGGUGGCUCACACCUGUAAUCCCAGCACUUUGGGAGGCCGAGGGAGUGGAUCACCUGAGGUCAGGAGUUUUAGACCAGCCUGGCAAACAUGGUGAAGCCCCAUCUCUACUAAAAAUACAAAAAUUAGCUGGGCGUGGUGGUGUGCUUUGCCUGUAGUCCCAGCUACUCAGGAGGCUGAGGCAGGAGAAUUGCUUGAACCUGGGAGGCUAAGGUUGCAGUGAGCCAAGACUGUGCCACUGCACUGCACUCCAGCCUGGGUGAUAGAGCAAGACUCUAUCUCAAAAAAAAAAAAAAAGAAAAAAAAGAAAGAAAAGAAAAGUCCAAACAACUAUACAUACAGCUUAACAAAUAAUUAUAACAUGAAUGCACUCCAGACUGGGUGACAAAGUGAGACCCUGUCUCAAAAAAAAAAAAAAAAAAAAAGGAAAAGGAAAAAAAGAUUUAAUUCAUGAGUGAGCCAAUAAAAUAUUACAACCAAUUCAAAGGAGAACUCAAAGUAUCACAAAUAAUAGUCAGAUGAAGAAAGUUGAUUUUAGAAAUGGAUGCAAAACUGGUCAAUAUCCAUGAGGCAGUAGUCAGUUGCAAUUCAGACACAAUUUGCAUUUCUGUGAACAGGAAUUAUUUGCAUUGGUAUGACGUUUCUACAAUUUAAUUUCUAUCUUGAGAGGGUUGAGAAAUAGUCUAGUCAAAGACAACAAAAGCCAGAGAUAACCUGGAUGAAUAAGUUAUUCAGGACACCCCCCAAGUUUCAACAUCAUUCACAGUUUCUUCUUACACUUGUAAUUGGUUCCCUACCUACCUCCCUCCUAGAAAUUCCCCUCUGCACGUUCCUACUGCCCUGUUUGAACCAGCUGACCCCACCCUUCCUCCCAUGUUAUGGUGAUGGGCCAGGGCUGAAAGCCUAACCUGGGGGAACGUACUUAUCACCUAAGCUGAGCCAAACAAGUGCUCCCAAGGCUUGGACACUGCUUCUACAGGGGUGGGCACUGACAUUGUCAGACUCGGGCAGGCAGACUCAGGCAGGCACACCCAGGGCUGGUAGUCAUAAUGGGCCUUGUAAAAGAUAACCAAGCAUUUUCUGUAAAGGGUAACAGAUUAGGAAUACAAAGAGAAAAAACUGUAGUCCAGUGAGAAAGACAGAGUACCUGUCCAAUGAGCUUGCAGUGCCUGGGAUGACUUCCUGCAUUUGGGUUCCAUUAGAGUCCCCCUUUAUGCCUGAAUCAGUUUGGGUGGGUGUCUGUUCCACUAAUUGCCUAUCUGAAAGAAUAGCUGACGUACAAGAUGUAUGAUGACCUGCAGGGCUGAGGUCUUUUUCUUUUUCUUUCUUUCUUUUUUCUUUUUUUUUUGAGAGAGUCUCACUCUGUUGCUCAGGCUGGAGUGCAGUGGCACCAUCUUGCUCACUGCAGCCUCUGCCUCCUGAGUUCAAGCAAUUCUCCCACCUCAGCCUCCCAAGUAGCUGGGAUUACAGGGGCCCGCCACUACUCCCGGCUAAUUUUUUUUUUUGUAUUUUUAGUAAAGAUGGGGUUUCACCAUGUUGGCCAGGCUGGUCUCCAACUCCUGACCUCAGGUGAUCCACCCACCUUGGCCUCCCAAAGUGCUGGGAUUACAGGUAUGAGCCACCAGGCCUGGCCAAAAGUCUGGUGUUUCUUGAGAGUCAGGGGAGGGGUUAGUUGAAGGGGGCAAUGUGGCCAAUUACUUGGGGUCCUGGGGGCCUCAGAGGGAAGUCGGUGCUUCACUUGAAGAGUAUGGGGUUUAAGAAAGUGAGUGCUGUGGUCAGAUCUGUACUUUGGAACAAUCACUCUGGCUGCUGGUGGAGAACAGGUGGGAGGGAUAAUGGACAGGAGGCAUAAAGACCCCUCAGGAGGCAGCCACAGGCAUCCAAGCCAGAAGCGAUCACCUGAACAGAGGAAAGGGGUGGAAGGAACCGACUCAAGAAAUGUUGGGCCAGAAUUUCACCUGAAAAACAAGACAAAGAGAACCCUUAGGUUUUCAGUCAGGACCACCAUGUGGUUAGAGUGUCACCAUCAUAGGAGAAAGAAACCAUAACUAGCGGGUGGGCUGGGAGAUGACGAGCUCAGUUUAAGACUUGGUGAGUGUGAAAGAGCUAUAGGCAUCUAGGAGGAAGCAUCUGGCAGGCAGGUGGAUACACAGGUCUGAAAUGGAGGGAGGGUUUGGCCUGCAAGGCUGGAGAGAGGAGGCUGGAGUGAAUGUGCCAUGAACAAGUUUACAUGAAUGUGACUGGGGAGCAGGGAAGAGGGGGAAAGUGCAGGAACGUAAUGCCUCUUGACCCUAAAAUUCUCACUUGCUGAGAGUAAGGGUGAGGGGAGGGGCUGGGGGCAGGAAGGGGGAGUUUAGAACAUUUAUUAUGGGAAACAGGAGAGAAGCUGACCCAGGCACAGCUAUGACAUCUAAGAGGAGUCAGGAGACUAGUUCUUGCCAAAGGAAUGUUGAUUGAGGAUGACAUGUCACUUCCAGCCCAAGAGAGUUAAGAAGAAGACGUGACUUCUCCACUCUUCCUUUCCCCUUCUCCCAGUUCGAUGCCCCUUUGUUACAGACUGAAUGUUUGUGUCCCCCCAAAAAUUCCUAUGUUGAAACGGAAUCCCCAGUGUGAUGAUUUGGAGGUGGAGCCUUUGGGAGGUGAUUAGGUCUUAAGGGUGGCGCCCUUAGGAUGGGAUUAGUGCCUGUAUAAUAAGAGGCCAGCGGCCAGGCAUGGUGGCUCAAGCCUGUAAUCCCAGCACUUUGAGAGGCUGAGGUGGCUGGGUCACUUGAGGUCAGGAGUUUAAGAUCAGCCUGG
rnacentral:lncRNA from 10 species